rnacentral:rRNA from 1 species
AACGAACGCUGGCGGCAUGCCUAACACAUGCAAGUCGAACGAGACCUUCGGGUCUAGUGGCGCACGGGUGCGUAACGCGUGGGAACCUGCCCUUAGGUUCGGAAUAACUCCCCGAAAGGGGUGCUAAUACCGGAUAAUGUCUUCGGAGCAAAGAUUUAUCGCCUAUGGAUGGGCCCGCGUUGGAUUAGCUAGUUGGUAGGGUAAAAGCCUACCAAGGCGACGAUCCAUAGCUGGUCUGAGAGGAUGAUCAGCCACACUGGGACUGAGACACGGCCCAGACUCCUACGGGAAGCAGCAGUGGGGAAUAUUGGACAAUGGGCGAAAGCCUGAUCCAGCAAUGCCGCGUGAGUGAUGAAGGCCUUAGGGUUGUAAAGCUCUUUUACCCGGGAUGAUAAUGACAGUACCGGGAGAAUAAGCUCCGGCUAACUCCGUG